ensembl:lncRNA
CAAUUUCCUAGGCAACAGGGCCUCCAGACUGCCCCAAGCCGACCUGGCGCCUCCGGAGAAGGCGAGGUGUGGCCUCUAGAAUCGUUUGCAGUGCCCUGGUGCAGCUGAGAGUGGAGUAGAAACAAACCGAGAGUUUAAAACGAUAAGAAAAAGCGAAAUGCUACUUUCGAGUGCUAACGGCCGGAGAAACUCCCCCACAGUGGAGUUGUGUCACGGGAGCUGAGAAGUGCUGUCAGCGGGAGAGGGCAGAGAGAAGGGAAGAUGAAGCCAGAAUAGUUGGAGCAGGUUGCCGUUUCCUUCUCUAGAGGAUCUUUUCAACCCACGGAUUGAAACCUCAUCUCCAGUAUUGGCAGAAGACCCACUGUGUGCAAGGCAUCGCUAGGUGCUACUGGGGAUAUGGUGAAGAUUCCUGCUAUCCAAUAUUGUUGACUGCCUGUGUCGAGCUCUGCAGAGAAGGUGAAAACCAAAGACAAAAGGAGGAGUGUGGGAUACCAGCUCCCUUGGGAGACUGAGGAACUCUACUGGGAAGAGAAGACACUUAAGACUGGGACAGUUUUCAACUGAUGGAUAGUAACAACUGUUGGCCUUGUGUCACAGAGUUUGGUCCUUCAGCCAACAAUCCUGAAAGCAUCUCCAUUUUAUAGUUGAGAAAUCUGGUGGUUACAAAGUUUAAAUAACUUCUCAAGAUCACAAUAUAUGAAAGACCUGGACCUCAAAUCUACAGUUAGCAUUGUUGUUUUGACUGCCUAAUAUAUCCUUCGUAUGUGGGGGACUUGCACACCCCCUUGGCAGCUUGAACUCAAGCAUGGCCCUGUGGUCUCAGUACCAACUGUAAGGUGUUCCUGUCCAAGUUGCAGCUUGAGAGACUUGUCGGCUGGUGAUAAUUCACAGCGGAAUCCAGCGGUGUAGAGGUAUGUGUGGAUGAAAUGACAAGUCUGUGAACAUGGAGAACAGAUGAGUGGUUGCCAGGAGCGAGAGGACCAUGGAGGCGAUAAAAGGAGGUGUGGCAAUCACUGUGGUGAUGGUAAAGUUCUAUAUCUCAACUGUAUCAAUACCAAUAUCCCAGUUGUGAUCUUGUACUGUAGUUUUACCAGAUGUUAUCUUUGG